GAGAAGAAGCCAAAAAUUAAGGCUGAAAUAGUGAAAUAACGGUCAAAAAAUCAAUUUUUUGGGGUUAAAAAUCCCUCCCAAACAGGCUGUAAGUUCUGAAUGUCCCAGGUUUGGAAAUAAGGAAAGAAACAUAAUAACUGAUGGAUGUAGAAUUGUGUAGAUAUAUACAUCCGUAUAUAUUUUUAAACUUGCUUCCUUUGGCUUUCUCUUGAUUUUCUCUAUUCACAAUUACUCUUGAUUUUCUCUAGUACAUCAUUAAUCUAUGUAUAGGCUAUGCACGGUUUGCUCAUUUUUUUCUCUUACCAUGUUCCCAGACACAGAAAUGGUUGUAGAUGAACCCGCUACAGAACUAUCUUCUAAAAAAAGCAAGAAAAAGAAACACAAAGCUGGAGCAAAGGAUGACAUCGAACCCAUGGCAGAGGAUAAUCUGGCAGCUGUUAUUAAUGGAGAUGCUCCUGAAGAACCUAAAAGUGAAAAGAAGAAGAAAAAGGAGAAACGAAAAUUGGCACAAGAGGCAGAGGAGGAAAAGAAUGAACCUAUGGAGAAUGUAAAUGGUGCAAAUGGAUUCAAUGCCGAAGAUGGAACAGCCAAAAAGAAUAAAAAGAAAAAGAGUAAAGAUGAGAACACUGAGGAUCUUCCCGCUGCAAGUGAAGGUAAAAAGAAGAAGAAAAAGAAAUCUAGAAGUGAAGACACCGAUUAAAUCAAGUAGUUAUCUGUAUUGGUCAGAUAUGGGGUGUGCGGUCCUUAGGCUGCUGAUAUGUUAAAAUUCAAUUUUGUCCCCCUCCUGAAUUUUCAGGGACCCUAUCAAACAUCUCUAUUUAUAGCAGUUUCCUUUUUCGGUUCUAGUGUUUUAGGCACAGUAUUAGAUAAUGUUGUCGGUAAAUGCAAGAUAUUGUAUUUGCUAUUUGGCUAUUUGCACAAUCAAAAGCAUUACCUGUGAGUUUGAAAUUUUCCAUUGAAAUUAACAUCAUCAUUUUAAUUUAACCUUCCGGAUUGUUCCACUGUUGAUUAUUUUAUUGGGGUGUUAUUUUCUUCUUUUGUUUCUUUGUGGUUGUAUAUUUUUNUUAACCUUCCGGAUUGUUCCAC
rnacentral:lncRNA from 1 species